CAAUGCAGCCAGAGUUGACACACUGAAAUAAUGGAUCAGCAAGCUGGGGGAAAAAGCUGAUAGUUUCACACAUGGAGUUCGUGAGCAUGGAUGGUCAAUAUUUAGAUGAUUCAAAGCAAAGCACUGCUGAUAUGACAGUUUUUGUGACUACCAUACUAGGCUUUUUGUUGUGUUAAAUUGAGGAAAGAAAAUCUAGAGUAAUUGCAUCUGUUUUUGACUAUGGUCUACUAAUUGGAUGGCCCCAUAACAUCCAUUAGAGAUGGUUCCCCAGCCUAAUGCAUGACUUUGGAAGCUGGAGGUUUGUCAAAUUACCCUUUAUGCUGGUAGUCCAUCUUUAUAUAUAUCUUUCAUGUAGUUCACAAUUUUUUUUCGGUAAAACAGAGCUGAGAAAAUUCUCCCCACCUUUGUUCCAACAUUAUGUGGAGCCACAUCUUUUAUUUUAUGUAUAUGAACAUUUUUCACUGUUAUUUAUGUGAGAAAGUUACUGUGAAAAACUUUCAGCCUAAAGACUAUCGCCUCUCAUGGUUGACCUUGUGAACAAAAGUGAGUUUCAUUUUAUCCUUACCAACCUUUCCCUUUGAUCUUAGCUGCCAUCUUCUGCAUUUUUUGACAGUUCACUUUGGUAGGUUGAUAUGGGCAUGAUUUGCAACAUGCUUUGACAUCAUAUUUCCUAGGCUGCUAAAUUGAUUCUCUUUUUCAUUAUUGAUGCUAUUGAUUUUGUGUUUUGAUAGUUUGAUCAUUCAAAUGCUUAGUAUUCAUUUCCAAAACAAGUAGUUUUUAUGAAAAUUUAUAUAAAAAGUAAGAAAUAGCAUUCUUGUAGUCUUAUUGCAUUUUUACCUGACAAUUCUAUUUUAUUGGUUUUUAGCUCAAUUGGUAGAGCUAACGGAACAUGAGCAUGUCUCAAUUAUGUUCCAAGGGGAUGGUGGUUCGAAUCCACCAAGACUCUUUUGGGGUUCAACUAUUCAUAGUAAAGUUAUUUAAGAAAUCAUGUAGAAAUUGGUGCUGUUAUGGUGAAGAAUUUUCAAAAAAUACUUGAGAGAAGCUAUUAGAGGUGUUUUUUCUUGUUUGUGAAUGUUUAGAACUUGCUCCACCAAAUUAAAAAAACAAUGUUUAGAACUUGCCACUUGGUUUGUGUAGUUGGAAUGCACCACUUGUCACUUCUCUUUUAGAAGCUGGUAGUUUCUAAGAUUCUUACCAUCCCACUUCUCUAGGGUUGAUUUUGAGGACCCCAUCUUCUGCCAUUGCUCAAAGAACGACACCUUAAUUGCAAAAACUGCAGCUAAUCUUAUCAUUUUUAAAGAGCAUCCCAAUCAAUGAGUUCUAAAUCCUUGAUAUAUAUGGUCGUUUGGGUGGAAAAUAAAAGUUCAUGCUCAAUUCAAAUAUUUCAUUUGGAAUUUGUUAAGAAUGGUGUUUACACUAAAGGUAACCUCAUUCGUCUCUUUUAUUUACCUGAUGAUUGUCCCUUUUGUCAUUGUGAUCGAGAAAUUGAUUGACAUUUAUUCCUUUCAUGUCAAUUUGCCAAACAUAUUUAUGCAGCUGGGGUAUUGGGUCUUAGAAUUGAAUAUCUUAGAGGAGAGCCAAAUUUAGGAUCGAUUGCAUCUUUAAGUGAUAUAAAGAUGUAAGGGAAUGGGGUAUAGGGUAUAGGGUAUGGGGUAUAAGGUAUAAGGUAUAAGGUGCAGUGUAUCCCUAUGGGAUAUUGGGUAUAGGGUAUUGGGGCAUAAGAUAUAAGGUAUAGGGUAUUGGGGCAUAGGAUAUAAGGUGUAGGGUAUGGGGUAUGGGGUAUAUGGCAUAGGGUAUAGAGUAUGGGACAUGUAGUAUAAGGUAUAGGUUAUAGGGUAUGUGAAAGGGAGCUUGACUGGAAGACCCACCCAUCGAGUAACGACAAAAGUUGGCCUUAGUGAUCCAAUGGUGCUGAGUGGAUGGGAAGGUUUUGCACCUCGAUGUCGGCUCUUUGCCACCUGGGGCUGAAGUAUGUUCCAAGGGUUGGGGUAUAGGGUAUGGGUUAUGGGAUAAUAUGUAUAAGGUGUAGGGUAAUGAGCCCACUUGGAUUAAUUUUUCAAUGUGACACACAAUGGGGAAUUCAGGACUUCUUUUUCAGGGGGUGGGGAGAGUGACAGGCACAAUGCUAGGCACACUCAACAUUUUCCCUUUAAAUUUCGAUUUGGGUUGAAUUGGUUUUGGUGUUGGAAUGGUAAAAUCGAAACCAGAACAAUAAUGAAAAUUCAAUUUGAUUUUGAUUUUGGCGCAGUUUGGCUUGUACGCAUCAAACCACCUCUUUUUUUUUUCUAAAGAAAUCAGCCCUCAUUUAGAGGGGAUGAGAAUAGAACUAGAGAAGUAAUGUGUUAUUGACCAUGUUCCAAUAAUGUGUUCCAGUUGGCUAUAUUUCAUUGGAUGAACUUUUUCUAGUUUUAAGCAUAUCUGUUAGGCUGGAAUGGAUUUUGUACAUACCUAUUAGGUGGGAGGGUGAAAUUUUCAAUCACCUAUAGACGAGAAAAAAAUGAGAAAGAGGAGAGUGGGGGGAGACAGUGCGUGGGAGCAGGGAAAGAUUCCAUGGUAGAAAUAUUCAAAGCCUCUGCUGGUUUUUCUUUCUCUUCUCCUCCCCAUUAACCUGCAUUCAAUUUGACUGUUAUAUUUUGAUUUUGAAAACCCUAGAUCUCCCGAUCCUCUCACUCUUUUCAGUCGCUCUUCCUUCUCUUACCUGAAUCUUCAAAGAAUAUAUAGGUUUCCAUCUCUCACUCUUCUCUUGGAAGCCCAUCUGCUUCUUUUCCCUUUUGAUUUCACCAUUAAAUCGUUGCUGGCUCCGGUUCCGAUGAAGUGAAUUUCUUGGACAUUUUAGAUGGCUUCGUCCUUGGUGUAUUAUUUCCCCAUUUAAUCUAUGGUUCUACUGACCUUUUCUGGUUUUAGGUUUUAUUCAUGCAUCCUUGCGUUGGGAACAAUCUUCGUUUAGGUCGUAAGAUUGUUGGGGUUCAUUUGGAGAGAUCUCUCUUGGUGUGUUGCUGCUUCUGUUUUUUAUUAUCUUUGUUUCAUUUUGUAUAUUUUAUGAUUUUGGAGAGAUCUAUUCAUGCUUGUUAUUGUUUUUGUUUCAUCUUGAGAGAUUUAUCUUGGUGUGUUGAUGCUUCUGCUUAUAACCAAUAUUCAGACAAAUGAAGAGGUCAGAGCGGCAAUGAAUGAAUGGAGAUGAAGAGAGCAGAUGGAAGAAAAAGAGAAUAGCUUAGGGUUUCAACCUUAGCCACUGGAUUUUUUUUCCGCCAUGUGUUCAAAUAUGGUUUUGAUCCCUUUUCAAAAUCAAUGGAGACAUCCCUUCAUCAAUAGCUGCUGCCAUUGCUGAAGGUUGCAUAGAUCCAAUUACCAUGGAAGCCUUUGAUAACGCAAAGAAACCGAAAAGUUGUCUAGACCCAAAUGUAACUCGAGCUUCUGAUCAAAUCCUAAGAGCGGAGGCCCAGGUGGUGAUAUCUGCGCAAGAGAGCUGCUUAUCCAUAUUUUCUUCUUGUGAAACAAAAGAUAAAAAGAAUACAGGCAAGCAUACUUUUAAACAUAUAGCUUCAUCGUUUAUAUAGAAGCUUUUCCACUGUGCUGUGUGAGUUGUCCACUUCUUACCUGUUUAUUUGGUAAUAUAUUAGUCAUAAUGGGACCUCAAUUAUGUGAAGAUUGCUUGGCAUGACAAAUGCCAGUCUAAUCUUGUUCUAUCUUGUCUGUGUGCAUGUUGUGCAUAUUUUGUGGUAAGCUCUAUUUUUACAAAGUUUUAGUCCUUCUGUCAUGAACAGAUACAGAGCAGAAGGUGACUUGGAUAAGAGGAGCUAUUUGAAGGAAGUUGCUGCCCUUGAAAAACUAAUAGCCCCUUAAGAAUUCCACUAGAAAUUUGAUGACAUUGUAGAAAAAAGAGAAUUUCCAGACAACAACCCCUUCAAGAAAAGAACAUUGUGAAUGGGAGAGAAGGGAGUCGCGGGAGAUAUCAAGUGAGCGUAUGGUAUCUCCCUUCAGUCAUCCUGAUUUAUCUUUCUCUCUCCCUCUCCCUUCCCAUCUUGUCAAAAUCUAACACCUACUUCUGAACUCGACAGUUUUCUUCCCGACCACAAACCCCUGUUAUCCAAAUCCAUACCCCGCCUCGUCGACUCUCGUCAACCAGCUCUGCUUUCUCUCUCUCCUUCAUUCCCAUCUCGUCAACCCUAACCCCUCAUUUCCAGAUCUCAUCUCU